rnacentral:rRNA from 1 species
GACGAACGCUGGCGGCGUGCCUAACACAUGCAAGUCGAACGGAAAGGCCCUGCUUUUGUGGGGUGCUCGAUUGGCGAACGGGUGAGUAACAUGUGAGCAACCUGCCCUUGACUUUGGGAUAAUUUUAGGAAACUGGGGCUAAUACCGGAUAGGAGCUCCUGCUGCAUUGUGGGGGUUGGAAAGUUGAGGCGGUUGGGGAUGGACUCGCGGCUUAUCAGCUUGUUGUGGGGGUAGUGGCGUACCAAGGCUUUGACGGGUAGCCGGCCUGGGAGGGUGACCGGCCACAUUAGGACUGGAAUGCGACCCAGACUCCAACGGGAGGCGACGGUGGAGAGUGUUGCCCAAUGGGAGGGAGCCUGAUGCGACAACGCCACGUGCGGGAUGACGGCCUUCGGGUUGUGAACCGCUUUCGCCUGUGACGAAGCGUGAGUGACGGUAAUGGGUAAAGAAGCACCGGCUAACUACGUG